UGGAGGAAUACAUUGAAUAUCUCAAAUAGAGUAAUCCCCCAUAACUUUAGUGGAUGAGACGAAUCUUUAUUUAGAUUCUACCUCUUUAUCUCCAUUCAUAAAGAUAUAAAUUGGCAUGAAAAUUUAAGAUUAUUCGCUGUGAAAGUGCUUGAAAUCUUCUACAGAGAAUCAUAAUAUCUUUACUUACUGUUUAGAGAGGCAAAUAAAUUUACCAGAUCCUAGGGCAGUGAUAAAAGGUAACGAAGAGGUUCGAAGAAAUGAUGAGAAUCCACGGUACUUCAUCGCAGCGUCUUGCUUUUUCUCAUCUGACGAUACUUGCCGAUAUUUACACGCUCACGUGCGUGUCUCGAAGGUGAACACACACGGUAUCCCUUCGUGUCCCGAAAUCCCGUUACACAGUCGGUUCAGAGGCAUUCUACGUAUCACGGCUGCGUAAUGCUAAACAGAGAAGAGAGAACGACGACGAUGAAGAAGAGCAAAGGAAAUACAAGGGGCAGCAGACCAUUGCUCGUGAUCUUGCGUUGAUGCGCGGUGAGGAAAGGGGCCGUGAGAAAGACGAAGAGAGCGAAGAAGCUGAUUGCUCGAACGUUGCUUCACC
rnacentral:misc_RNA from 1 species